AUCAGCCCGUUGCUCAGAGCCAUGCGGACUAGAAGCUUACUCUAUUUUGCGGGGAAGGGCCAUAGCUCAGUAGCCGGGCGUCUGCCUUGCAGGCAGAAAGUCUCAGCUUCGGACCCCGACAUCAAGGACAGGUAGGGCUGCCCAAAAUAUAAUAAUAAUAAAAAUAAAAAUUAUAAUACUGUUUUUAUUAUUAUUAUUCCUGGAGAGCCACUAACAAUAGUGUCAACAAUCUUGAGCUAGAUGGAGUAACGGCCCGGCUUGGCCGCAUAAGGAAGCUUCCUGCGUUCCUGUAAUGUAGAAAUUUGGCCGACAGAAGCGAGAAGGCGGCACAAACCCUCUAUGGCUCCUUUACUAGGAAUCCCCUAGAUGAGGACCUGAUGGGAGAAGUGGUAGCGAGGGUUAACUAAGCCUGGGUAAAAUCUCGCCCUUUGGCAUUCCAUCGGAAUGGAGUCUAGUCCCGUCUUGCUGGGCCAGAGGGCACGUCCCCCCCCCCUCCAGACCAGGGUUCCUGUUUGCUUGGAGAGACCCACCUGAGCCCAGUGGAAAAUGUGAGUGGCAUGUGCAGCGGGGCGGGGGGGCAUGGAAACACAGAGCUCCCUCUUUACCUGCCAACCCAACUUUGAUGCAGGAAAUCUUUGGAAUUGUGUAGAAGCAACCUUUCAGUCAGUUGCAUUUGAGUGGGGGUGUGGUGUGCAGGUUAUUUCCAAGGGUCCGAGUUGCUUUGCAUGAUCCUCAUUCUGAGAAGUGGCUUCAAAGGAAGCACUUUUAAAAACUUCCCACAAAGACACAGACAUCAUUUUCUGGCCUGGGUCAGAGCAACCCUUGUUACCUUGAUUCCACAUUUUUUGUUAAAGGUACACCUCCAGUUUUGCAUGACCAUUGAGAGGAAAGGGGUGGGUGGGUCUGGUGUGGUGAAGCAUUUGUGUGAAGACUCAAGAAUUACUGGGAAAUCUUUUAAGAGAUGGUUACUCAGGCAUGCGUCACUGGGUCCACAAGGGUAGCUUUUGCAUCAGAAUCACACACAGCAAGCCCAAGAUCAGCUUGUUGUGAUUUAAUGCAGCCUUUGCUGACCUCGUGGCCUCUAGAUGCCUUGGACUGCAACAGCCCAGCUUCGCUGAUAUGGGCUGAUGGGAAUUGGAGUCCGAAACAUCUGGAGGGCAUUGAGUUAUUAAAUCGAACCAUCUUUUUUAACAAUAAGAUGGCAAUUCUGAUUCGCCACUGUGAUACUUGCUAGGAUCAAAAUGGGACUACAGACUCUUGGGUCUGUAUAAUCCUGUAUAUGUCACAGAGGCAGUAAUGCUUCUAAUACCAGUUGCUGGAAACCACAAGGAGGAGAGGGCUCUUGUGCUCGGGUCCUGCUUACAGGUUUCUCAGGCAUCUGGUUGGCCAUUUUGAGAACAGGAUACUGAACUAGAUGGACCCUCUUUGGCCUGAUCCAACAGGGAUGAUCUUAUGUCAUUGUGACAAUGCACUCCAAGAAAGAACAGUUAUUGCCAUUCACCAGUGAGGUCCAGCAAGGCUUUGGCUAGACUGCUUGAGUAGCUUCCUUCCGGGUUUGUCUGCUCUCCACUCCCAACCUCCUUUUUGGCUUCACUGUACCCAUAUUCAGACAUGGCAAUGGAGGUCUCGGGACUGCAUUGACUUCCUGCCCCACUACUGUCCCUACUGGCUGGAGGUGGGACUGCAGGCACUUUUAUUAUUCAUUAGUGCGAAUACUAGUUGGGUUUUGUUUUGUUUUAAGUGGAUAUGUGACAUCAGGGCAACAGAGCACUUCAAUUCACUUUAAUUGUGCAAACCUAAAUUUCUGGUAUGCACCCGAAUCCCUCCUGCAAAAUACCAAUAGCCUGGAGGUGAUCAUGCAAACAGAAUAAAAAUACAGUGGUAAAAACAUAGCACUUGUUAAUACACUAAUAAGACAACCAUCUCAAGAAUCACAUCUAUGGUUACACAGAAAGAAACAAUAGCAGUGUAUGGGUAGUGGUAACACAUCACCCUCCCCCAAACAUCGGUGGGGGGAUCUGAAACUGGCUCUGAUUAUGGAGAGCUCUCCCCAGCAAAGCCCUCCUGGCGCUGACACUUUUUUGGUGCCAGUCAAAAAGGUUUUCUUUUCCUGUACAUUGGGACAAUAUCUACCUGGCUCUGCAGUCCCUCAGUGGGGACUGCCAUCUUCCCCACCCUGCUCCUGCUGCGGCUGUUGGGGGGGGGGGACUGCUGCUGCUACAGAAGCAAAGAGGACUGCAGAGAAUACUGCAAGGACCAGGUCUCUGAACAGGCAGGCAAAGUGGGAACAGCUGCUGCCCCAGCUGGGCUGGGUCCAGCUGCUGGGGCACUGUUAUAAAGCCUACCCGCGUAGGGGGCGGGGCCAUCCCGGUGGGGGAACACCUAAGGGGGUCAUCCCUUGGGGGUAGCCCUUUGGGGGGUGAGACAAGGGUGAGGGACAGCCCCCCCAGUGUUAUUAGGUAGUUAUUUAAAUGUUUUUAGGCAUUUUAAAUAGUUUUUAAUCUAUGUUUUUUUGAAUAUUGGUUUUGUUGGGGGUGGGAUGGACAUUUGGUUGGGGCUGGGGAUUGGUUUAAUUUUAGUAUGAUUAUAAAUUAUUAUUAAUUGCGUUUUUUGUUUCUACUGUUCUAUUGGUUUGUUGUAUGGUUUGUGUUCUAUUCUUAAGGGGAGAGGGUCAGGGCUGCCUGAGAGUGGGCCCCAGCCAACAAAAUGACUGGGGCAGGUUCCACAGGGAGGGAUGCACUGGGACACCCGAUCUCAGUGAUCACGGGUAGGAGGAGGACCAUGUCAUUUCCGAAGAGGCAGGUUUAGUCGUUGUUUGAGGACUAUCCCUGCUUUCAGGUCUGGUCUUGACCGGAAGGAUACUGGAAUCAGCAAGGGAGACCCACAUGACCUUAUGGUCAUGCAAUGCCAGGCCAAUGAUUCACAAGACGGCUGUCAUCCACGACUUGAUCAUGGAUGGAGGACUUGACGUGGCAUGUGUGACCGAGACUUGGUUGGAUGUAGCAGGUGGUCCUGUUCUUGCCGCUGCUUGUCUACCAGGUUUCUCUUACACACAGCAACCCAGGUCAUGUGGGCAGGGAGGGGGUGUUGCAGUGAUUUUUAGGAAGUCAUUAGCUUGCACCAGGUAUCCUAUUGAGAAGACCCAGUUUUCUGAGUGUAUUUUCUGGAAGUUGGCCAAUAGUGGCAGUACAGGAUUCCUUUUGGUGUCCUAACCUCCGCCCUGCACCAAGGAUUCCCUUCCCGGGUGUGAUGGCCUGGGAAUCCGAUUCAGAGGCCGAACCGGAGGAACCCCAGCCUGCACAGGAGUCCCCGCCUCCAGGGCCGGCUGAGCUGGGGCAGGGCCUUGGAUCUGAAACACCUGCACCUGUGCCGGAUCCUCAGGAGCAGGCACCAGGUGAAUCCUCUCUGGCUCCGGAGGUGAAUGAAGACACAGUGCUUACAGGUGCACCUCUCCCAGCCCUGUCAGGGGAAGGUGAGUCUUCCCCUGGGUCCAGUAACCCUUCAGCCUCCUGAACUGCAGAGGCUCAAGGCAGAGAGGCGAAGGGAACUGAUUUCUCCCAGGAGGAGUGCUCGCCUUAAGGCCAGGAGAGACGGGUCUCCUGGGGGCCGGGACCGCCCCUGGCCUCAGAGAAGAUAAAGGCCAGUCAGCCCGGUCCCAGGUUGCGGGAGCAACGUCGUUGAAGAGCUGUUUCGGCCAGCAUCCAGUCCUGUUCCUCCAGAGUUCCUGUCCUUUUCCAGCUCCUCGCUUUGGUCCCCGCUUCGCCCGUGGAGAACAGUCUACCAACCCUUGACCCAGGACCCUGACCUCGCCUCCCGGUAACCUUCCCCCCCGGGACUAGCACACCGAGCUGCUUCAGGUUGUGGCGGAUAUUCUCCUGGAGACACCUAGUUUGGUUGUCCUUGGGGAUUUUAACACCCAUGCCAACUCAACCUUACAAGGGGCUGCUUGGGAUUUCAUGGAAAGCAUGGCCUCCAUGGAGUUGCCCCUGAAUAAGUUUGGCCCAACUCAUGUCGUGGACAUGCCCUAGACCUGGUGUUCACCUCUAUGGAUGUGGGUGAUCUGACACUAAGUAAAAGCGAAACAAAAGAAGUGCCACUGUCGGAUCACUUCCUGGUGCAACUGGACUUUUCUGCGACCCUUCCCCUCUGCAGGGAGGUGGGACAGAUUCAGAUGGUCCGCCCCCGCCACUUAAUGGAUCCAAAUGGUUUCCAGAGAGUGGUAGGCCAGGGGAUGUUUUAUCCCAUGUUGUUGGCCUUUCAGCUGAUUCCCUGGUGGCCCGCUGGAAUGCCGAGUUAACCAGGGCUAUCAACUGUCUGGCUCCAAAGCGUGCUCUCUGAUUGCAUGGACCCCGGACAGCCCUGUGGCACAGCUGAGGACCACGAAACAAUUGCUGAGACGACUAGAGUGCCGGUGGCGGAAAACUCAUUCUGAAUCGGACCAGACACUGAUGAGAGUUCAGCGUCAAGCCUACCAAGUGGCGAUAGCGACGGCAAAGAGGACCUUCUUCACCGCCUCUAUUGCAUCUGCAGAAAACAGCAGUAGGAGACUCUUUCAGGUGGUUCGCAAUCUAAUGGAACCACCACUGCCAUCGGGGCCUGGUAAGGACCCCAAGAUCUCCUGCAAUGAUUUUGCGAAGUUUUUUGCAGAUAAAGUUGCUCAGAAUUGAAAGAGGUAGACUAUACCGUGGGAGCAAGGCCAGGGCGGGAAAGUGCUGGAGUCCGGUCUAGUCAAGUUGCAUGGGAUCAGUUCCAAUCUGUUACCUCUGAGGAUGUGGACAGGCUGCUUGGAUGAGUGAAAUCGACCACCUGUCUCCUUGAUCCUUGCCCAUCCUGGCUCAUCAAAGCGAGCUGGGAAGGGCUGGGUGAUGGGCUUUCACAAAGGUGAAAGCUGUUUCCUAGUUCUGCUGGAUCUCUCAGUGGCCUUUGAUACCAUCGACCAUGACGUCCUUCUGAACCGUCUAGAGGAGCUGGGGGCACUGUUAUACAGUGGUUCUGCUCCUUCCUCCUGGGCCAUGUCCAGAAAGUGGUGUUAGGGUAUGAGUGUUCAGACCCCUGGGCUCUCACUUGUGGGGUGCCUCAGGGUUCAUUUAUUGCAUUUAUAUCCCACCUUUUUCUCCAAGGAGCUCAGUGUGGAGUACAUGGUGUCAUUUAAUACCCACAACCUCUGUGAGGCAGGGUAGGCUGAGAGGCAGUGACUGGCCUAAGGCCACCCUUGUGACCUUCAUGGCCAAGUAGUUUUGAACUCUGGUCUCCCAGGUCGUAGUCCGAUGCUAACCACUAUGCCACCACUGGCCCCGGUUAUGUGCUAGACCAGCAAGAGGAAAGGGCUAUUGGCUUUGCAACCUACCUCCACUGUUGGACGCAGUAAUGCAUUCAAAUACCAGCUGCUGGAAACAGCUCAAAGGGAGAGUGCUGUUGUGCUCAGGUCCUGCUUAUGGGCUUCUCAUAAGCUUCUAGUUAGUGGCUAUGAUAACAGGAUGCUGGAUUAGACGAGCCAUUGGCUUGAUCCAGCAGAGCUCUUCUUAUUCUUAACAGGUCGGGGAUAGGUAAAGGGAGAGUAAAAACAGGCCUGGUGCAAGAUGUUUUGGUGCUCAAGACAUAGCAAUUGAAAGGACCCACCCACUCACUAACAGAGACCACCACAGUCCAUUGGGAAGCUGCACUCCCAUUCCUUCAAUGUAGCACUGUACCAUAAAUUGAUCCUGUGGGGUUUGUUCUUGUUUUUACGAUUCUACAAUUACUGAGGAGAGAAAAAAUGUGUUUGAAAAUCCUCAUUGAUUGGGAUGUGGCCUUUUUGUUGUUGUUGUUGUUGUUGUUACACUUGGCUUACUUUUCAGGUGGCCAAGAGUUGUUUGCCCAUGUCCUUUCUUUGAUUAUACAAUUUUUCUCCCCAGUAGUCUAUGCUCUGAGUUCCUGGGCUUUAAAGAAGACAUCCAAAAAACAGACACACAACCAAACCUUUAUUGUUAUGGCCAAUCACCAGCACUAAAGAAACAAAAUGAGAAGCACAUAUUAUCCAAAUGUGUAUGCUAAGAUAAGAGAAACAAGUAAAACAAGGU